rnacentral:rRNA from 1 species
UAGGGAAUCUUCGGCAAUGGACGAAAGUCUGACCGAGCAACGCCGCGUGAGUGAAGAAGGCUUUCGGAUCGUAAAACUCUGUUGUUAGAGAAGAACAAGGACGUUAGUAACUGAACGUCCCCUGACGGUAUCUAACCAGAAAGCCACGGCUAACUACGUGCCAGCAGCCGCGGUAAUACGUAGGUGGCAAGCGUUGUCCGGAUUUAUUGGGCGUAAAGCGAGCGCAGGCGGUUUCUUAAGUCUGAUGUGAAAGCCCCCGGCUCAACCGGGGAGGGUCAUUGGAAACUGGGAGACUAGAGUGCAGAAGAGGUGAGUGGAAUUCCAUGUGUAGCGGUGAAAUGCGUAGAUAUAUGGAGGAACACCAGUGGCGAAGGCGGCUCUCUGGUCUGUAACUGACGCUGAGGCUCGAAAGCGUGGGGAGCAAACAGG